rnacentral:piRNA from 1 species
GAGGUAAUGUGCUGACUUUGGUGCUAGAC